rnacentral:rRNA from 2 species
UUUGAAGCGUGGACGCCAGUCUGCGUGGAGCCGACCUUGAAAUACCACCCUUUAAUGUUUGAUGUUCUAACGUGGACCCGUGAUCCGGGUUGCGGACAGUGUCUGGUGGGUAGUUUGACUGGGGCGGUCUCCUCCUAAAGAGUAACGGAGGAGCACGAAGGUUGGCUAAUCCUGGUCGGACAUCAGGAGGUUAGUGCAAUGGCAUAAGCCAGCUUGACUGCGAGCGUGACGGCGCGAGCAGGUGCGAAAGCAGGUCAUAGUGAUCCGGUGGUUCUGAAUGGAAGGGCCAUCGCUCAACGGAUAAAAGGUACUCCGGGGAUAACAGGCUGAUACCGCCCAAGAGUUCAUAUCGACGGCGGUGUUUGGCACCUCGAUGUCGGCUCAUCACAUCCUGGGGCUGAAGUAGGUCCCAAGGGUAUGGCUGUUCGCCAUUUAAAGUGGUACGCGAGCUGGGUUUAGAACGUCGUGAGACAGUUCGGUCCCUAUCUGCCGUGGGCGCUGGAGAACUGAGGGGGGCUGCUCCUAGUACGAGAGGACCGGAGUGGACGCAUCACUGGUGUUCGGGUUGUCAUGCCAAUGGCACUGCCCGGUAGCUAAAUGCGGAAGAGAUAAGUGCUGAAAGCAUCUAAGCACGAAACUUGCCCCGA